UACGAAGGGUGCAAACGUUGCUCGGAAUCAUUGGGCGUAAAGCGCACGUAGGCGGCGAUCUAAGUCGGAUGUGAAAUCCCUCGGCUCAACCGAGGACGUGCAUCCGAAACUGGAUUGCUCGAGUAUGGAAGAGGGUCGCGGAAUUCUCGGUGUAGAGGUGAAAUUCGUAGAUAUCGGGAGGAACACCAGUGGCGAAGGCGGCGACCUGGGCCAAUACUGACGCUGAGGUGCGAAAGCGUGGGGAGCAAACAGG
rnacentral:rRNA from 1 species